GUGGAAUAAGUCAAGAGGUUUAUACUUUCUGAAGGCCUGUCAUUUGGCCACGUUUCAGCCUCCUGGCAGAGACACUUGUGUGCGUGGUCAAAGAGCUCUAUGUUCAUGUCACCCAACAAAUAUAAAUGUCUGGAGUUGGCUAAACGGCACUGGCACUUGGAUUGGAACCUGUGCUAUGGUCCGAAGACAUGAAAAUACCAUCAUUUCACAACGAAUUAAAACUUAAUUUYCCAACUAAAAGGUUGCUUGCCAGUUCUGCUUAUCGUGAUCAUUACUUUCGGCACGGCYUCGACAUCUCACGUCUGUGAUCUACAUGGGUGUCAGAUUUAAGUCAAUUCGCUCAUUGAUUUACAUUAAUUAAAUCGGCCCCUAAUUAUGAGCGCUGUGUCCUGGGGUUAGGCCGUCGGACGCAGUUGACAUUUAGCUGGCGAAGCUCUGGUGUUGCCCUGAGCCAGUAGUAUUGACAGACAGAGCCAGACGUGCUGUGGGGAGAGAAAGCUGAGGGAUUAGAUUGUGUGUGUGCACAUGUGUGCGUGCUUGUGUGCAUGUCUGUGGAACAAGUGAACUUUGCCUCAAAACACCCAGUAGAGAGAGACGCUUAUUGCUGUAGUAGAGGAGCUGAAUUAGUGGUUCACCUCUCAACCAAGGCCCUGGCACUGAUUGUAAUGAGAGAGGGAGAAAGAGGGGGUARAUUAAAGGGAUUGUUCGUCCCCAAAACAAGCCAGACAUUUUCCUAAAGGUGUGUAUCUGCCUUCAAUUCCAAAUAAAUUGUAUCAAUUUCUUAUAUGUUGUUAUUGGCAAUUGGGAUUAGGAAAGGUAUCAUCAUUUUGAGUGCGGUCGGACCACCAUUGCAUUUGAUGUUUUACUUUUGGUCUACGCACCACCGCAUGUUCAGGGGACAGACGUUUAAAGUAUUUUGAACCAGGAACGGACUGGGACCAGAAAUCGGCCCAGGAAUUUCUUACACACCAGACAAUUUGUUUCCUUGAGGACCAUAUUUAUUAACCAAAUAAUGAUACAACUCACCCCAUUGGACUAAAGAUGGACCAGUCCUUUUCUGUUUGGAACUGUUGCUGUAGGUCCAGGGAAGGAGGAGUGUAUCCAGUGUGCCAGAGAUCACCUGCAGCAAGAGUGGAGGUGUGUUCAGACCUGCGCCCCAGGAUACUACUCAACAGAGGAUGCUGGCUACCACCAGGGGAUGUGUCACAAGUGUGAGGAGAAUUGCCUGAGUUGCGACGGCCCCGGACGACCUGUGUCAAGUGCAAAGACAGCUACACCUCGUCAGCAGGACGUGCAUGGUGAACGCCACUGUAACAAUGCCGACGAGGUGUUUUGUGAGAUGGUAAAGUCCAACCGGCUGUGUGAGAAGAAGCUGUUCCGGCAGUUCUGCUGCAGAACCUGUCUGAUGACCGGUUGAGAAUCCUAGUAGAGAACCUGGAGAGGAACCSUGCGUGGAACCCACCACUUCCUCAUCCACUGUUCGUUUCCAAACUAGCUAAUGUUUGUGUCUGAAUGAAAAGAAAGAAUGAAUAGGCCUUCACCAGGGUUGGGGUCAAUUCCAUUUUCCUCAACGCGUUCCUGAAUCCARUGAAUUGAYAUGGAAUUGACCCCAACCCUGGAACACACACUAUUCCUCCCAUCAAUUUUACCCCACAAAGGGUAGACUUGAUUUUCAUACGAUAUAUACAGUAUUUUAAAGUUGUCUUUUUUAUUUAAAAAACAACAUACAUUAUGUAACAUGUAUAUUUUUUAUUCUAAUGCUGCAUUGUUGUAAAGUACAGUACUUUUUCGACUACACAUGUUAGUCGAUAACUCUCUGAUUGAACCACUGUUUUUUUGGAAGUGAAUUGGUCACCUGAAUAGUAUGAGCUGGUUGAUAAAGAAACAGCAUCACUCAAAAUGGGGAUCGUAUUUAUAAGGCACCAAAUGGAAUAAGACAAACUGAAACAUGAAGGGACUACUUGAACUUUUCUGUUUUCUGUUGUGUGCCCUACGGAAUACGACCCGGWUCAACUUUUUCAUACUUAAGAUACAAACUUCCUCACAAAAAAUGGUUUAUUCUGUAUAAGGUUUUUCGUUUUUUUUAAUAAAAAAUGUGUAAAACAAUGAA